rnacentral:misc_RNA from 1 species
UAAAAUCAAUCCCCACGGGUUUCUGACCUGGCGGUGGACUUGGAGUUGGGCGUCUGCCGGUCACACGGCUCGCCUUAAAGACCUUAGUGGGAUCAUCGGCCCAUGGCUUGACGUAAUAAGUUUCGUCUCGUCCGGCCCCUCGAGCCCGCUCACAACCCGUCCUCGGACAACUACUUUAU